rnacentral:rRNA from 1 species
GAGUUUGAUCAUGGCUCAGAGUGAACGCUGGCGGCGUGCUUAACACAUGCAAGUCGAACGGAACCUUCGGGUUUAGUGGCGCACGGGUGAGUAAUGUAUAGCUAACAUGCCCUUUAGAGGGGGAUAACAGUUGGAAACGACUGCUAAUACCCCAUACUCCUUCUCAUUAUAAGAUGAGUCGGGAAAGUUUUUUCGCUAAAGGAUUGGGCUAUAUGGUAUCAGCUUGUUGGUGAGGUAACGGCUCACCAAGGCUAUGACGCCUAACUGGUCUGAGAGGAUGAUCAGUCACACUGGAACUGAGACACGGUCCAGACUCCUACGGGAGGCAGCAGUGGGGAAUAUUACACAAUGGAGGAAACUCUGAUGUAGCAACGCCGCGUGGAGGAUGACACAUUUCGGUGCGUAAACUCCUUUUAUAUGGGAAGAUAAUGACGGUACCAUAUGAAUAAGCACCGGCUAACUCCGUGCCAGCAGCCGCGGUAAUACGGAGGGUGCAAGCGUUACUCGGAAUCACUGGGCGUAAAGCGCAUGUAGGCGGUCUUGUAAGUUGGGUGUGAAAGCCUAUGGCUCAACCAUAGAACUGCACCCAAAACUACUAGACUAGAGUCUGGGAGAGGAAAAUGGAAUUAGUUGUGUAGGGGUAAAAUCCGUAGAGAUAACUAGGAAUACCAAAAGCGAAGGCAAUUUUCUGGAACAGUACUGACGCUCAGAUGCGAAAGCGUGGGUAGCAAACAGGAUUUAGAUACCCUGGUAGUCCACGCCCU